AAUCUGCCACCGCUGCCACCGAGCCGAGGGGCGCCAGCAAGGCAUCCCCUGGGUCAAGGGGCCUCCCGUGGGCUUUCCAAACAGCCUGUGCUCAUUUCCGCGGGAGCCCUCGGGGCGCUGUGCUGUGGCUGCAUUGUCACUGUUUGUUUAUUUCUACAUCUGCUCUGUUAGAAGAUAGGCUCGCUUAGGACAGAGCCUUCUAAUCCACCCCCUGAUGAAUUCGGGCCCUCGCCUUUGGCACAAUGCCUGGCGUCAUCACAACGCGGGUGAUCAGUAAACGGCAGCGAAGGAAGCGGGGUCAGGACUGGAGAGGAGAGGGGGAGGAAGACAGACGACCGGAGAGGAACAAAAAUGGAAGAACAAGUAAGAAUGGACAGAGGAAUACCAUGUGCUGACUGACGAACGCCUGGGUUUCUGAACCAAUUGCCAUCAAGGGGAUUGGGAUUACCAUAAUUUUUGCUGAGACUAAGCCCCACCCCAGUAACCAAAGGCUUAUGGGUGGAAUGCAAGCUAUUGGAAGUAUUUGAAGAUGUGACCAAGGAAGCUAUGAGAAUUGGAAAUGAGGCAGUUGUUUAGAAACGGGCUGAUGUGCUUGUGGCAGUGUUUCAAGAACCCAGCUCCAUUCAUCCUAUGAUGCCACCAUCCUCAGCAUUUGACUUCCAUGGCUCCUAUAUGCUGCCAAGAGAAUUUUUUUCUUUAAGAACAAAUAAACUAAAGAAAUUAACAUCCAGCUUGCUGAGUCACUUGCUUUCCACUUGAAUUUUAACUACAAGGAUCUGAAGACAGCCUGUGUUAGGCAGAGAAAGAAAGAGACAGAGAAAGAGUCAGGGAGAAGAGAGGAAGAGAGAUGUAGCUGGAGAGUCAGGGAGAAAUUCAAAGAGAUGGAGAGAGAGACUGGUUCUGGAAAGAAAAGAUAAGUUAAAUAGAAAAAGGAAAGUAAUCUUUGAAAGGUUUGUUUAAGACAUGUAUUUUCUUACUCUGUAGUGGGAGCGCUGAAUAAAAAUAUUUAAAUAAAAGCUGUAAUGUGAUUAA